GACGAACGCUGGCGGCGUGCUUAACACAUGCAAGUCGAACGGAAAGGCCCUGCUUUUGUGGGGUGCUCGAGUGGCGAACGGGUGAGUAACACGUGAGUAACCUGCCCUUGACUUUGGGAUAACUUCAGGAAACUGGGGCUAAUACCGGAUAGGAGCUCCUGCUGCAUGGUGGGGGGUGGAAAGUUUCGGCGGUUGGGGAUGGACUCGCGGCUUAUCAGCUUGUUGGUGGGGUAGUGGCUUACCAAGGCUUUGACGGGUAGCCGGCCUGAGAGGGUGACCGGCCACAUUGGGACUGAGAUACGGCCCAGCCUCCUACGGGAGGCAGCAGUGGGGAAUAUUGCACAAUGGGCUGAAGCCUGAUGCAGCAACGCCGCGUGCGGGAUGACGGCCUUCGGGUUGUAAACCGCUUUCGCCUGUGACGAAGCGUGAGUGACGGUAAUGGGUAAAGAAGCACCGGCUAACUACGUG
rnacentral:rRNA from 1 species